rnacentral:rRNA from 1 species
GACGAACGCUGGCGGCGUGCCUAAUACAUGCAAGUCGAACGCACUCUCGUUUAGAUUGAAGGAGCUUGCUCCUGAUUGAUAAACAUUUGAGUGAGUGGCGGACGGGUGAGUAACACGUGGGUAACCUGCCCUAAAGUGGGGGAUAACAUUUGGAAACAGAUGCUAAUACCGCAUAAAACCUAACACCGCAUGGUGUAGGGUUGAAAGAUGGUUUCGGCUAUCACUUUAGGAUGGACCCGCGGUGCAUUAGUUAGUUGGUGAGGUAAAGGCUCACCAAGACCGUGAUGCAUAGCCGACCUGAGAGGGUAAUCGGCCACACUGGGACUGAGACACGGCCCAGACUCCUACGGGAGGCAGCAGUAGGGAAUCUUCCACAAUGGACGAAAGUCUGAUGGAGCAACGCCGCGUGAGUGAAGAAGGUUUUCGGAUCGGUAAAACUCUGUUGUUGGAGAAGAAUGUAUCUGAUAGUAACUGAUCAGGUAGUGACGGUAUCCGAACCAGAAAG